UACGUAGGGUGCGAGCGUUGUCCGGAAUUAUUGGGCGUAAAGAGCUCGUAGGCGGUUUGUCGCGUUGUCCGUGAAAACUCACAGCUCAACUGUGGGCGUGCGGGCGAUACGGGCAGACUGGAGUACUGCAGGGGAGACUGGAAUUCCUGGUGUAGCGGUGGAAUGCGCAGAUAUCAGGAGGAACACCGGUGGCGAAGGCGGGUCUCUGGGCAGUAACUGACGCUGAGGAGCGAAAGCAUGGGGAGCGAACAGG
rnacentral:rRNA from 1 species